CUUCAUUCUCUCUCGUGCAUACAGCAGGGAAUUCCUUCUACCUCCGAGUGACAAUGACUCCGAAGCUGUGAAGAUAACUUAACUCAGACGUCCGAGUUUUUCAACUGAACUCUAUUGAUAUUUGAACCUGGAACGACAACUCGGCUUACUCGGCGUUUCGAGAGAGACAGUCGAAGUGUGUACAGCUACCUUUGUCGGUACAGUCCACCGUAAAAAAAAUUGAGAGCUCAACGCUUCAAGGUGGCACUUGCACCGUGAUUCUCGCCGAGACUUAACUUGUUCAGUAUUUUAAGUCAUCAAGGUCCGAACAAGGAGGCAACCAGAGAACGAUUGGGGCCUCUCGUCUCUCAGUUCGAAUAUUUAUGUGUGGAAAACAAGUUAACAAAAGAGCAGCUGUUUCAAAAAGACACACUCAAACCGCCUCAAAGGGGAUGAAAUUCGACGAUGAUACAAUCCAAAUACUUGUAAACGAAGGAACUCUACGAGAAACGCCGGAAGCAAAUUUAAGAUUGACGGCUCAAUCAAUUGGCGUACAAACGACUGGAUUGAUGGUUCAUGACAAUCAUUGAUGGUUCAAUUCCAACGAUUUUCAGUGACGAACAGUACCAUCGCUAUUACUAUAAUUUUUUGUUCGACACUUUGUUUUUCUUUUCGCAUUUUUGGUUUACGAUAUAAAAAUAUUUGUUUCGUUCGAUGUGGGUGGCUCAACGAUGUGGAAAACAAUCGACACUCGGUAAAAUCACGAUUAUUUAAUUGCGAAUUACAGUCAAUUGUUUUCCAAGGCUCCGAGUGAUCGAACGUUAUCUGGUUUCUUAAUAAAAAAAAAGUUGAAGGGAUCCUGG